AUUGAACGCUGGCGGCAGGCCUAACACAUGCAAGUCGAGCGGAUGAAGGGAGCUUGCUCCUGGAUUCAGCGGCGGACGGGUGAGUAAUGCCUAGGAAUCUGCCUGGUAGUGGGGGAUAACGUCCGGAAACGGGCGCUAAUACCGCAUACGUCCUGAGGGAGAAAGUGGGGGAUCUUCGGACCUCACGCUAUCAGAUGAGCCUAGGUCGGAUUAGCUAGUUGGUGGGGUAAAGGCCUACCAAGGCGACGAUCCGUAACUGGUCUGAGAGGAUGAUCAGUCAAACUGAAACUGGAAACGGUCCCGACUUCCAAGGGAGGCAGGAGGGGGGAAUAUUGGACAAAGGGCGAAAGCCUUAUCCAGGCAUGCCGGGGGGUGGAAGAAGGUCCUCCGAUUUGAAAGCACUUUAAGUUGGGAGGAAGGGCAGUAAGUUAAUACCUUGCUGUUUUGACGUUACCAACAGAAUAAGCACCGGCUAACUUCGUG
rnacentral:rRNA from 1 species